rnacentral:misc_RNA from 1 species
AUACCAUAUGCCGCAGUAAUCGACAAGACCUAGGUGCGAAUGCGAACACGAACGCAUAGAUAGUGGAUCAUAGGAUAUUGGUCAAGUUGCAUACAGACUAAAAUUUUGAAAUGUUUCGAAUAAAAUUUCUUAAACAAGUGCUUGGAUUUUGUCUGUGUAUGGCGUUCUGUAUGGCGGUCACCUCUCUUAUACGGCCAGAGAAAGAUGUCACACAGCAGAGAGCAUCGGGUUCCGAUGGUGCGAUCUGGGAUACGCUACCAAGAAGGCCUGUGGUGCAAUUCAAACAGUCACAAGAAUCCAUGAGGCGAGGUAAGAUAAAUGUUCGAGAACUGUGCAAGGGAGAAAGUUUUGAGGAAGAGAAUACAUUUGAGUACGGUCGACUAAUGGCAAACCGUUCAGUUUACUAUUGUUAUGUUCCUAAAUGUGGGACUACUUUUAUGGAACUGUUUUUACAUAAAGUGUUUCAAAGUGGCAGCCCUGUCUAUUCUAGAGAUUACUACGAAGAAAUAAUAGAGAGACACGUCUUAGAGGAUGCGUUUUCUUUUACUUUCGUGCGAGAACCCUACAGCAGAUUGUUUUCAGCAUAUGAAAAUAAAUUCUUUCAUCCUAAUGAAAUGUGGAAAAAAUUAGGAACAGAUGUCAUUCGUGAAGUUAGACCCGAUCCGUCUCCAUUGAGUAAAACCAUUGGCCAUGAUGUCACAUUUGUCGAGCUUGUUCAAUAUGUGGUCACUUUAUGGGAACAAGGACGACCAUUAAAUCCACAUCUUGCACCCAUGAAAUCAAUAUGUGAUCCAUGUAGAAAACGUUUUGACUUCAUAGGAAAGUUGGAAACAAUGUCAACUGAUCUUGAGGAACUUGUAGAGGAAUGGAAAUACAGGGAGAUAGUUUCCAAAGAUAUCGACCCAACGGCAAAGAUAGAAUACGAGACUAAAUAUUCGCGAAGUUUUGGGCGAAUUUAUCAUAUGUUUGGAUCUCUAAACAAGUAUAAAAACCUCUUAUCAAGAUACAAGCUCUUCCAAAGAACAUGGUCGAGUUACCAGAUGAGAGGAGUAAUCCUGAAAGAAUACGAGAUGCCUUUCCUUGAGAUGGAUGUUAAUGAAGUUGACGAACCAAUGUAUCGAACGGCAAUCAAAGAUGCAAUUGACUCUAGCGAAAAGUACGAAGCUGAACUAAAAGCACAACGUACAGAAGCGCUCGUUCAGGCAUACAGGACAGUGCCACUAGACCUAAUGUAUAGGCUACAGGAAUUUGUGAAAACCGAUUGUUUACUUUUUGGUUAUGAUGACAAGCCAAGGCAACUUUUUGACAGAUCUUUCUCGAUAAAUACACAAGGUCACGAUUACUUUAAAGGGCUUUAAAAACAAUUCAAAUAAGCAUAGAAGCAGUAGGACGAUCUAACGAAAAAGUAUUUUAAAAACAAUCAUGCCUUCCGGUUUUGAUAUCGAUGGAGCACAUGCUUUUUUACAACAAUCUAUUCAUGAUCGUUUGUUAUACCACAUGUUUUACUCUAAAUGCAUAACACUUAAAGGCUCAUAAUGUCUUUGUUCAUAAUGUGGAUGCCACAUUUUUUUAUUUUGAACAUAAACUGUAAUAAUUUCUUGUUAAAUCAUAUUUUCAACAAUUGUUUUCUUUACUUUUUGCCAAGAGUUUGGGUAUUGAUUAACAUAGUACAGAUUUAUUGAAUGCACUAUUUAUGAUUACCUCCAUUUCCAACUCUAACUGUACAAGUUCAUGUGCAGAAUUUCAAGAAGUGCAUUUCUAAUCACAUAAUUAUACGUAACAUCUAUUUGGACAUAAGGCUUUUAAGUACAUCAUGUGAAUACUUUAACUUCUAAUGUAAAUACCUUCUUUUGAGAAACCUUAAACUAGUAUGAAAAAUUGAGGAAUGAAUGCAAAAUAAAUAAUCAGAGGCACCAUUCAUGUGUAUUUAAAUGUUUUUUGUGUGUUUUAUAGGUGUUUUUUUAGUUUAAACGAAAUAUAUACCUUACAGAACAAGGCUGUGUACUUAACAUUAUGAUAAACUGAAUUUAGGAUUUAAUAAUUUCUAGUAAUAUAUGUGAUUACUCACUUUAUCAAAACAAACAUCGAAAUAAACAAAAACGUUAUACGAUGAUUAAAAACUAUCGUGUUUGUGGUCCACUUGCUUUUAAUGUAUGCAUGUUUUUAAGAUUUUAACAUUUUACGACACGUUUAUUUGAUUUUAAAGGGCAUGCCAAAUUACUUCUUUGAAAUGCUUUGAAAUAUAGGAAGUACUUCCUUUUGUUUUAAGUAAAAAUAUAAAAGGGAGAGAUUCUACUUAUCCACUUAUUAACCUUACAAUAUAAUUUUGUGAAAUAUAUAUAAUGAAUUUCAGCAAAAAUACAUAUUCAUACAUACACAAAAAUCAAGAUCUUAGUCUACUUAAUGGGUAAAAAAUGUGGGGAAUUUCUCACACGAUAGGUUUCUUUUUCAAAAAUGGACCUCAAAUGUUUUCAGAAAAAAAUAAGAACAUGAAAAAGGGUACCAUUCCCUGCCAUCGCCAAUUAUAAACAUUUUGAUUCUUUAUCAGAUGUGGAUAUAUUGAGUUAUAACAAAUGUAAAUAUUUUAAUUACAUUAUUUUUGGAAAUCGACAUAUUGGAGUUUGGACAUAUAUUCAGUUUUUGGACUAGGUUUGGCCAGGUUUGAUUAAAUUUAGACUGAUCAUUAUUUAUUUUAGCUGUAUGAUAUGAUUUUUGUUUUAAACAUAAAUUAAACAACGGAUUAUAAAGACACUGGAUGCAGGUCUUUGUUUUGUACACAACUGACGGACAUUUGUGUAAAUUUUAUGAUGUCAAUGUAUGACUGACAGUUAAUGCGAUUACAUAUUUCACUUUAUCAACAAAGUUUCUCGUCAUUUUCAGGAAAUAUGGAAUGCCAUAUCCCCUUUAAUAUUAGAUAAAACGUGUGAAAAUAAACGAAAAAAAUAAAAUAAGGUUUUACUGCAUAUAGUUAAAUUUAGUAAUUAAGGGAUAAGAAAUAGAAACAAUUGAUAUACAUAGUUUAUUAUUUUAAAAACAUAAACAUACUUGAAAUGACACACCAUGGUACAUAAAUUCUCCUUAAUCUUGUUAAAAGUCGAUAGUUCAAACAUUAAUGUAAAUAAAGCAAACUCAUGUAUA